GUUAAAGGAGAAAAUUAUUUCACCGCGUUGUGGCCACGGAGAACAUUCAAAUGUCUUUAACC
rnacentral:tRNA from 1 species